rnacentral:rRNA from 1 species
UACGUAGGGGGCAAGCGUUGUCCGGAUUUAUUGGGCGUAAAGAGCGUGUAGGCGGCCACACAGGUCAGCUGUGAAAACUCGAGGCUCAACCUCGAGACGUCGGUUGAAACCGUAUGGCUAGAGUCCGGAAGAGGAGAGUGGAAUUCCCGGUGUAGCGGUGAAAUGCGCAGAUAUCAGGAGGAACACCGGUGGCGAAGGCGGGUCUCUGGGCCAUUACUGACGCUGAGGAGCGAAAGCGUGGGGAGCGAACAGG